rnacentral:rRNA from 1 species
AAUCUUCGGCAAUGGACGAAAGUCUGACCGAGCAACGCCGCGUGAGUGAGGAAGGUCUUCGGAUCGUAAAGCUCUGUUGCCAGGGAAGAACAGCUGGGGGAGGGAAUGCCCUCAGCGUGACGGUACCUGAGAAGAAAGCCCCGGCUAACUACGUGCCAGCAGCCGCGGUAAUACGUAGGGGGCAAGCGUUGUCCGGAAUUAUUGGGCGUAAAGCGCGCGCAGGCGGUUCUUUAAGUCUUGUGUUUAAUCCCGGGGCUCAACCCCGGUUCGCAUGGGAAACUGGAGAGCUGGAGUGCAGGAGAGGAAAGUGGAAUUCCACGUGUAGCGGUGAAAUGCGUAGAGAUGUGGAGGAACACCAGUGGCGAAGGCGACUUUCUGGCCUGUAACUGACGCUGAGGCGCGAAAGCGUGGGGAGCAAAC